CAAGUCCUGCAGUGGAACCACAUCGAAUUGCAAAUUCGAAAAAGCCACUAAAAGUGGCCCGGACU
rnacentral:tRNA from 1 species